rnacentral:lncRNA from 1 species
UCCCGCAGCGCGGCCUGAACGGACGGUGGCCCGGGUCCAGCUCAUCGCGCCCACCCGUCCCCAACCCGCCGGGGCCCGCCGCCCCAGGAAGCCCCUGCCGCGCCCGCCGUCCCGGUAGACGCUGUGCCCGCCCCGCGCACCGUGUCGCAGCCGGCUCCGGGCAGAGGGACAGCGUUUCAGCAUCGCCGUGUGUUCCCCCCUGCCUGCCUCCGGGGCGCUGGCUCGUCUGCUCCGCGGGCUCUGCCGGCCUCUCCCCACAUCCAGGACGGAGCACGAGCAUCGGGUACUCCAGGCUCGGUCCCUCAGACUCUGGCUGCUCACAGAUUCCUUCCGGGCCUAAAAGUACUGGUGCAGGUCUGCAGUGAGGCCCACCACAUCUGGGAAACCAUCUCCCGAAAUACUAGAUUGAACGAAGAGAAGGAAACCAAAGCAAGCCUGAAAACAAAUAAGCAAAUGUCAUCAAAAAAUACAAGGACUCGUGUCCAGUGACGAGGCUGGAGCUGCCCCCUACCUGGACUGAGAGCGGCCGGUGUGGAGCCUGUAGUUUUGAACUAUUAUAUGUGAAAGAGUGAGAAGAAGUGACACAUAGUUAGAGAGUCACAGCUGGAUUUGAGAGGCGAAGGAUGGUGCAGGAUAAUAUGGAGGACCAGCACAGAAACCACGGGUAGGUGAUGGGCAGGAGAGCAGGGCCAAGGGAAAAGGGGACCAGAGAGCUCAUUGCUCUCCUCCAUCUGGCAAGGGCUGGAGAACAGAGGACAGGAGAGUGUGUGUGUGUGUGUGUGUGUCUGUCUGUCUGUCUGUGUCUGUGUGAACUGGGGUAGUAGUUCUUCAUGUGUGGUAUAAGUUUGAUUAUUUUAUUUUUUCAUUAAAGUGGAUAAUCUUGAAAGCUCCGUAGACUUCCUUCACAUGGAAUGAAUAAUUCUGUUCCCAGUUAAGGGAUGAAGACAUUCUGAUCUUAUGUAAAUGCUGAAUGCCCUCUCUAAUGACAAGCCUUUGAGAAACGCGUGUGUAACUAUGUCUGGUUAUAAAUACUCCCUACAGCUUUCAUUACACAUCUGAAUUCUCCAUGGCCAAAAGAAGCUGUUUUGCUUGUUUUCCUUUUCUGGAAAUAACCUAAGAGUUGGACGUACAUUUCUUUAAACAGAGUCAGUAGACAGUAUUUAAAAGUAGUUUUCAUCCGUAAGUGGCUUAAAAGCAAUUCUCUGAUAAAACCAGUAACCCAAAAGGAGAGCUAAAGUCUUGGAUUUGUUUCUUUUCUGGCACUAUCAGCAUCAUAAAAGGACAAGAUCAGGAGAUAAUCAUGUUUAAGAAGAAUUGUUAUUUCAGUGGUAGUUCUGCCAAAGCUCAGGAUUUCUCCAUUUCUUAAAUUUAAUUCUAAUUGUUUUUUUUAAAAACAGGAAAGAGCCCUUUGGGAGGGAGGGAGGUAGAAGUUUCAAAAAGGAUGAGAUUACUGCAGCCCUGGGAGACA